GUAGGUGGCAAGCGUUGUCCGGAUUUACUGGGUGUAAAGGGCGUGUAGGCGGAGCUGCAAGUCAGAUGUGAAAUCCCGGGGCUCAACCCCGGAACUGCAUUUGAAACUGUAGCCCUUGAGUAUCGGAGAGGCAGGCGGAAUUCCUAGUGUAGCGGUGAAAUGCGUAGAUAUUAGGAGGAACACCAGUGGCGAAGGCGGCCUGCUGGACGACAACUGACGCUGAGGCGCGAAAGCGUGGGGAGCAAA
rnacentral:rRNA from 1 species